GCCAUGUGUAGUUUGUCAGAUCUGGUACCCUCCUGCAGCCAGGGGAUAGGCCUGCACCAGAUCAGAGUUGUUGCCCUCCAGGCCUCAACACUGACUCAGCGUUAAUAAGAGAGGAGUUCCAGACUCAUUGACUUCUGCAGGACAGCGUAAAGGACUCAGCCCUAGUGAAACUGUUGUCUCCAAUCUCAGCCUUUGGUUUGAGGUAAACACACAUAACAUACUUCCUUUCCCAGAUGACAUUUUGCUCUUGUGAAGGCUGUUGUACUGACAACCAGCUUUGAUCAGGAAUAAACUCUUUGUGAAGAGUGCCAAAUAUGCUGUCCUGGCAGUCUGCCCAAAGCCAGCUUUGCUGAAAUUUGCCUUAAAGAGAAGAUAUGGAAGUCUCCACACACUUAUGGCAAGUCUGUGAUGGAAACAUUCCAGACAAAGAGAUCAAGGCCUGUGCAGCAGUAGGGCGGAUGCAUGGGGAGGGAGCCCCAUGCCUGGAUGCAGGUGGCAGACUCUGGGACCAGACUUAUAGGAGCAGCUGGAGGCUGAAAAAAGUACGGCAUCUGGCACCCUGUGGCAGACCCCAAACAGAUGAGGAUAUUCUAUGAUUCUAAGUCUACAAAGACGGAGGUGCUUCUGGAUGCAGAGUUCACACACACACAGCACUCUCUCUUUCUUUUGAAUCUAUGAAAAACAAGAAGCUAAUACAAUUUUCACCAGCCCAGACUAUCUGCAGAUCACGUAUGUCAAAUAGUUCUACUUCACACCUACAACGUAAAACAAAACUAAACAGAUGCUUUGCUUUUCAUGGUUUUAAUCUCUAAGUUGUUAUCAGUGACUGUAUUGAUUUUUCCUUCUGGAAGAAACUACCGCAGCUCCUGAGGGUUUGUCCUCAUGAGUUCCCUAUAAAAAAAUAAGAAGAAAGCUUUCUUUCAGAAUUAUUUUCUUGCUCUAUGUGUGGAGGCUUAUUGCAAGGCAAUCAUUG
ensembl:lncRNA